UACGAAGGGGGCGAGCGUUGUUCGGAAUUACUGGGCGUAAAGGGCGCGUAUGCGGCUCUUCAAGUCAGGCGUGAAAGCCCCGGGCUUAACCUGGGAAUUGCGCUUGGGACUGGAGGGCUUGAGUACGGGAGAGGAGAGUGGAAUUCCCAGUGUAGAGGUGAAAUUCGUAGAUAUUGGGAAGAACACCAGUGGCGAAGGCGGCUCUCUGGACCGAAACUGACGCUGAGGCGCGAAAGCGUGGGGAGCAAACAGG
rnacentral:rRNA from 1 species